rnacentral:rRNA from 1 species
AGUGAACGCUGGCGGCAUGCCUAACACAUGCAAGUCGAACGGCAACACAGUAAGAUUUUGCUCUUACGGGUGGCGAGUGGCGGACGGGUGAGGCAUGCAUCGGCUUCUAAUUUUUCGUGGGGGAUAACGUAGGGACACUUACGAUACCACCUCAUAUGUUCUACGGGUGAAAUCAGUGGAUAUUUACACUUUUCCCGUUUGUAUUAGCCGAUGUCGGGUUAGCUAGUUGGCUGGGUAAAGGCCCACCAAGGCGACGCUCCGUAGCUGGUCCGAGAGGAUGAUCAGCCACACUGGAACUGAGACACGGUCCAGACUCCUACGGGAGGCAGCAGUGGGGAAUAUUGGGCAAAGGGCGAAAGCCUGAUCCAGCAAUACCGCGUGGGUGAAGAAGGCCUUCGGGUUGUAAAGCCCUUUUAUUGGGAAAGAAAAGCAGCAGGUUAAAACACCGCUGUUCUGACGGUACCCAAAGAAUAAGCAACGGCUAACUUCGUG